UACAGAGGUCCCAAGCGUUGUUCGGAUUCACUGGGCGUAAAGGGUGCGUAGGUGGUGAGGUAAGUCGGAUGUGAAAUCUCCGAGCUCAACUCGGAAAUGGCAUUGGAAACUACCUUGCUCGAGGGUUGGAGGGGGGACUGGAAUGCUUGGUGUAGCAGUGAGAUGCGUAGAUAUCAAGCGGAACACCAGUGGCGAAGGCGAGUCCCUGGACAACUCCUGACACUGAGGCACGAAAGCUAGGGGAGCAAACAGG
rnacentral:rRNA from 1 species